rnacentral:snoRNA from 1 species
AUUCCAUGAUGAGGACAGGCCCGGAUGUACUCCUGGAGCCUCUCCCAUGCUUCGGGUAUGAGAUC